rnacentral:rRNA from 1 species
AUUGAACGCUGGCGGCAGGCCUAACACAUGCAAGUCGAGCGAGCGGCGGACGGGUGAGUAAUGUGUGGGGACUGCCCGAUAGAGGGGGAUAACUACUGGAAACGGUGGCUAAUACCGCAUACUAUCGGAUAACCCAUAUGGGAUUAGCUGGUAGGUGGGGUAAAGGCUCACCUAGGCGACGAUCGCUAGCUGGUCUGAGAGGAUGAACAGCCACACUGGGACUGGGACACGGCCCAGACUCCUAGGGAGGAAGCAGUGGGGAAUUUUGGACAAUGGGGGAAACCCGGAUCCAGCCAUCCCGCGUGUAGGAGGAAGGCCUUCGGGUUGUAAAGUACUUUUGGCAGAGAGGCGGUAUCUGCAGAAGAAGCACCGGCUAACUACGUGCCAGCAGCCGCGGUAAUUC